CGCGUAGGCGGUCUGGUAAGUCCGAUGUUAAAGACCGGGGCUCAACCCCGGCAUGGCGUUGGAUACUGGCAGGCUUGACGGCUGGAGAGGCGAGUGGAAUUACCAGUGUAGCGGUGGAAUGCGUAGAUACUGGUAGGAACACCCAUUGCGAAGGCAGCUCGCUGGACAGCACGUGACGCUGAGGCGCGAAAGUGGGGGGAGCAAACC
rnacentral:rRNA from 1 species